AAAGCACGCCCCUGCAACUACUUCUUGGUGUAACUAUAUAAAAUUAUUUUGCUGCUUGACUUAUAGAAAAAUACUGAAAUUCACUUUUUGAAACUGAUUUAUGCACAAAAGUUUAUCAGAUCCUGUUAAUGCAUAUAAAAGAAAUACUAGACACUUAAGAGGUAAUAAGAGACACUUUAGACAUUUUACUGACCUCUUCUUUGCACCACCCUGCUGUUGCUUAAAAGCACAUCUGUCAAAUGUCUUCACGGUGUAAGCCUCGAGAUGAGAGAUUACCAACACCCUGUGAUAACUGAUAGUGAAGUGAUAAAAGUAAAAGCCUGACUCAUAGUUCUCAAGAGGUGAUAUGGUAUUGAUUUAAGCGAAGCAGAUUGGGAUUAGGAAAGAACGACAGUUUAUGUGAAACAUGACCUUAUCAGUGACACAAGAUAUAGCCCUGUUUAAAUGACGCCUGAUUCCAUCUGUCAUAUGCAGUCAUAUUUCACAGUCAAAGUUGAAACACAUGUAGAGUUUUGGUUCUAGCUCUCUAUGAGUUUGAUGUGUUAUUUUACGGAAAAACAUCAAACUCGCCGCCUCCUUAUGUGACAUCAGUGGAAAAAAUUAACAAAAAGCAGUCAAGAUAUAAGAGAGCAAACUGUGAAUAUUCCCAUACUGUAGUGUUUGACCCCAAUCACACAGCUUGAAAAAAAUAGUUGCUGUAAAAUAUUAAUACUCAGUAUAUAAACUUAACACGUAGCUCUUAUCAAUUCUAGAAUAUAGCAUGUGGAAAUAGUUUUGGUAAUCUAAAUAACUUUUAAUGGUAAAGGUUUAGUCUGAUGCAUGUACGUCUGAUGGGGAUUUUUAAAAUUUAUUUAGGGGCAUACAGACAGGCAAACCCAGAGAAAAUAUUCAACCAUAUUUCUUGCACCUCAAACAGGUUUUCUAUAUCUUUCUUGCAUGUGCAGGAUGCUUUGGAUGCUUUCUCCGGAUCAAGGAUUAAGCAGAUUUUUCUUCUUUAUCUUUACAUAUGACAUAGCAAAAGUAAUGGUUUGACUAUUCAAACAAAAACUACUAUCGUAUCAGACAAUCUGUGUUCAUAUGUUGUAUGUAAAUACCUUUUAUGACUAUAUAAAUGUUAUGCCUGCAUACAUAUUUUUGCAGUUUUGUAGUUUAAGGCAGUUAAACACAGACUUAGAAGGCUCUUUCUCUACAGCAGUGUCUGAAAAAUACUCGUCAUUCCUGCAAACUCAGGCUUAAUUGUUGAUUUCCCUUUGUUACCUAACAUUGGAACUGACCAAUUAGUCAGUUUGAGGGCUGAUUAAGAAUAAGAUAAAUAAUCUCUUGCCUAUGCACACACCCACAAGUCUCACUUGCACACACAUUGCUUUCAGAGAAGACAAGAAAGGAAUGCCGGAUGGCAAUAAAGGUGCCACAGCCAAUGAAGAUGCUACCGACAAAAAAAAAAAAAAAAAGAAAAAACAUCUAAGAUUUCUCUUUCAAGUUUUGAUAAAAAUGAUGAAAGAGAAACA